AGCGAACGCUGGCGGCAGGCCUAACACAUGCAAGUCGAACGGACCCUUCGGGGUUAGUGGCGGACGGGUGAGUAACACGUGGGAAUGUGCCUUUAGGUUCGGAAUAGCUCCUGGAAACGGGUGGUAAUGCCGAAUGUGCCCUUCGGGGGAAGGAUUUAUCGCCUUUAGAGCGGCCCGCGUCUGAUUAGCUAGUUGGUGAGGUAAUGGCUCACCAAGGCGACGAUCAGUAGCUGGUCUGAGAGGAUGACCAGCCACAUUGGGACUGAGACACGGCCCAAACUCCUACGGGAGGCAGCAGUGGGGAAUCUUGCGCAAUGGGCGAAAGCCUGACGCAGCCAUGCCGCGUGGAUGAUGAAGGUCUUAGGAUUGUAAAGUCCUUUCACCGGUGAAGAUAAUGACUGUAGCCGGAGAAGAAGCCCCGGCUAACUUCGUGCCAGCCGCCGCAGUAAGAC
rnacentral:rRNA from 1 species